AGGUCGGGUGUGUAAGCGCUGCGAGGCGUUGAGCUAACCGAUACUAAUGACCCGUGAGACUUAACCUU
rnacentral:rRNA from 1 species